CAGAGCAGAGGGAAACGUCAUUUGUCGGAUCAGAGGACAGGAAAGAGAGAGCGGAGGUCCUGUCGUGAACACAGCAGAGCUGACUGGGCUCGGAAGCAGAGGACCUGAGGGCGUCUGAUCAGGGGAGCUACAGAGUGAGGGACCUUCAGGGAAACACUAUCGUCACUGUGGGAGCUCCACUCACUCUCCCAGUCUGAGAAUUGAGAGGCUCAGAGAGACUGUACUACUGCACCACCAGAGACGGAGGAGAGAUCCAACCAGACUGCUUACAGGUGGGGACAAAUCACACUCUUUUCUUUAUGUGGGG